AAUAACCUAAAGUUGUCAGUAUAUCCAAAUUAGGAUUUGCGAGCGCUCUAACUUCACCAAUCGUUGGGUCAUAUAACCCACCAAAAAACAUGGCUUUAGCAACUAAUAAGCCUGCUCCUAUACCAAGCAAAACUAAGUGAAUUCCAAGAAUAGUAGUCAUUUUUCUGGCAUCAUUCCA
rnacentral:antisense_RNA from 1 species